AGGCCAUAUCACGUUUAAAAAACCGGUUCUCGUAUGAUCAUUGAAGUUAAGCAACAUUGAGCCUGGUCAAUACUUAGAUGGGUGACUGCUUUGGAAUACCAGGUGCUGUAAG